GUGUCAUUUUCGCACUGUAAAGACGAAAGGGGCUGAUUCCUCUUCCUCCUGCUGUUCCAGCAAGGUGGUCCUUAUCGUGGUCCGGUGUUCCUGGGCCUCCACGUCGUCGUAGUCCACUGAGGAGGAGCGCAGCAGCUGGAACUGUGAGUUGGAAUCGUUUCUGGUGAUGAUCAGCGAGGCGGGUCGAGGUCCUAUUAAGGAUUUGCUUAUUAUUAUGUACGUGUUUUGGCUUUAGACCUGGUGAACAUUACCUGGUGGCGGCUUGGUUGUCAAGCGUUUGCCGGCACCUUGGACUUCCGGCUGGCGUUCGGAAACAUACUCCACAUUUGGCGUUAGCUUGGUACUAUUAUUGUUGUUGUUGUUGCUGGUCGCCAUUUGUUGAAUCGAUACUCGCUUGUCUGCUUUGACGCUUCCCUGCUGCUUUAAAAUAGAUUCCCGACCUGACGGCGCUGGCACAGAGCCGGAGGCACCGAGCAAUGGGGUCGUCAUUGCUGCUCCGGCACUCGGUGUGUCGAGUUCUAAAAAUCAUAGGGAUGAGGAAGAUUAAGUUAGGGUUCUUGGAGGGAUUACCCAUUGCAAAGGGUGCUAUUUCCCAACAAAUUUAUGUAUGUUAACCACGUGAAUUAAAGCAACCAAUUAACUCAGAACAAAGGUUAAAGGCGUAACAUAAACACAGAUAUAAAGCUCAAUAAAAUGCAAGAGGUAACGAGUUGUUCAUAAAAUUUAUCAUUUAUUUGAUGCUUCAUCUAACG
ensembl:ncRNA asRNA:CR45149 antisense RNA:CR45149